AACGUAAUUGUUGAAAUGAAUGCUUGGGUCAUAUGGUAACUCUGUGUUUAACUUUUUAAGGAGCUGCCAAAUGGUUUGUCUUAUUUUUUUAUAAGAAGAAUAUAUUCAUGUACUAUUUUUGUAGUUAUGAAUCAAUUUUUAAAUUACUUUAAAAAUAGACCAGAAAGUAUUAGAGGGGAUGCUAAGAAGUGUGUAUAUCCAGUGCUAAUUGUGUCCUCUGGAACUCCCCAAGUUCUGUUGCUUUUUAAUUUUCGAUAAAGUCAUAGAAGCCAGACAGUAGAGGAGCUGUGUCCCUUCUAUCAGAGUCUCUAACAGAAAAGCUGGAGUAGAAGGUGGACUCCUUCUUCACAUCCAUCUCAGCUGUUUCCUCCCCAGCAAGAUGGGAUCUUCCCUGUUCUGAUCUCAGAGCAUGUUGAUUGAGACUCUUCACUUUCAGCACAUUCUGCCAAGGCACUGAUAGUGUAUAUACCUCUCUCCCGCUAGAUUUAGAAAAAGUCUUGUGCUCCUGUUUGUAGCCCCCAUAGAGCAUAUGCUCAGUAUAUAACCAUUAAAUAAUAAUCUGAAUUAUAUUAACAUCCUGAGACUUUUCUGCUUGAUAAUAAGAGGAAAAUUCCUUUGUGACCAAGAUCCCUAGUUCGUGUCUCUGUUAUGUGGAGUUGCUCACUCUUCUGUUUCUAACCAAGGCUGUAUGGUUUAAGGCAAGGUUUUAAAGAGCUGAUUUUUUUUUUCUUUUUAACAAAGUGAAAGUAAGCAGGACUAGUUGUGGGAAUAGGGUUAAUGCAUCACUUAUCAUGAAGCUAUAUUAUCUAAGCGUAUCCAUAACUCUGCGGGCAGGAGGUUGGUAGAGAGCAUCUGAGGAAAGAUUAGAGAAAUUAUUUUCUUAGAAUAUAUUGUGAAUAAAUUGUUUAUGUGUUAUGUAUGUAAACACACACAUAUAUAGGUAUAUAGAGAAAAACACGUAUGGAUUUGCCUGUUAUACACAGAUUUGUCCAUUCAUGUGUACGUGGAUACUGUUCUGAGCAUGUCUUGUGUAUUAUUUAAUCUUCACAGCAGCCCUAUGAGAUGGGCACUUCUAUUUUCUCUAUUUUAUGGUUAAGGAACUGAGGAAUAGGGAAAUGAGGAAAUUUGCUAAGUUUUCUCC
rnacentral:lncRNA from 1 species